rnacentral:rRNA from 1 species
GAUUUAUUUAUAAAAAUUACUCCGGAGUUAACAGAAUAAUAUUUUUGAUAUAGUUGUUAUAUUAAAAAAAAUAUUACAUCGAUGUUGUAUUUGUAUAAGCUGGUGAGUAAAAAAAUUGGUGUUUGAGACUGUUCUUCUUUUAUUAAAUAUGACGUGAUAUUAGUUU